GAUGAACGCUGGCGGCGUGCCUAAUACAUGCAAGUCGAGCGAACGGACGAGAAGCUUGCUUCUCUGAUGUUAGCGGCGGACGGGUGAGUAGCACGUGGAUAACCUACCUAUAAGACUGGGAUAACUUCGGGAAACCGUAGCUAAUACCGGAUAAUAUUUUGAACCGCAUGGUUCAAAAGUGAAAGACGGUCUUGCUGUCACUUAUAGAUGGAUCCGCGCUGCAUUAGCUAGUUGGUAAGGUAACGGCUUACCAAGGCAACGAUGCAUAGCCGACCUGAGAGGGUGAUCGGCCACACUGGAACUGAGACACGGUCCAGACUCCUACGGGAGGCAGCAGUAGGGAAUCUUCCGCAAUGGGCGAAAGCCUGACGGAGCAACGCCGCGUGAGUGAUGAAGGUCUUCGGAUCGUAAAACUCUGUUAUUGGGGAAGAACAUAUGUGUAAGUAACUGUGCACAUCUUGACGGUACCUAAGCAGAAAGCCACGGCUAACUACGU
rnacentral:rRNA from 1 species